rnacentral:rRNA from 1 species
CCCUUAGAUGUUCUGGGCCGCACGCGCGCUACACUGAUGCAUUCAACAAGCCUAGCCUUGACCGAGAGGUCCGGGUAAUCUUUGAAACUGCAUCGUGAUGGGGCUAGAUUAUUGCAAUUAUUAAUCUUCAACGAGGAAUGCCUAGUAAGCGUGAUUCAUCAAAUCGCGUUGAUUACGUCCCUGCCCUUUGUACACACCGCCCGUCGCUCCUACCGAUUGAAUGGUCCGGUGAAGCGCUCGGACCGCGGCCUCUUGACGGUUUUCCGUCGAUUGGCUGUGGGAAGUUCGUUAAACCUUAUCAUUUAGAGGAAGGAGAAGUCGUAACA